rnacentral:rRNA from 1 species
UGGGGAAUAUUGCACAAUGGGGGAAACCCUGUUGCAGCGACGCCGCGUGAGUGAAGAAGUAUUUCGGUAUGUAAAGCUCUAUCAGCAGGAAAGAAAAUGACGGUACCUGACUAAGAAGCCCCGGCUAACUACGUGCC